rnacentral:rRNA from 1 species
UACAGAGGGCUCAAGCGUUGUUCGGAUUCAUUGGGCGUAAAGGGUGUGUAGGUGGCGCCGUAAGUCGGGUGUGAAAUUUCGGAGCUUAACUCCGAAACUGCAUUCGAUACUGCGGUGCUUGAGGACUGGAGAGGAGACUGGAAUUCAUGGUGUAGCAGUGAAAUGCGUAGAGAUCAUGAGGAAGACCAGUGGCGAAGGCGGGUCUCUGGACAGUUACUGACACUGAGAAACGAAGGCCAGGGGAGCAAACGGG